UGCUCUCCAUUAAUUCUCAUUGCUGAAUAUUAUUUAGACAUUAAAGACAUCCCAUUUGUCAGUUUUGAAGUUUAAAGUGUCACAUUUGUGUUAAGAAUGGUUUAGUAGAACAUCAGAGCCCAUCAGUGCACUGACCACUGGCCCUUUUUGUUUAGGAUGCACUCAGACCACCACAUGCCCAGGUGACAGCGAGGACAUGAGGCUGGACUCUCUCUCUGUGCAUAGAAGCGUGUCGAGAAGCUUCAGAGGGUUAUGGCAAGCUCCUGCCAGGAAAGGCUGGCUUUGGUUCCAGGAGCCAGUCCCCAGAUGCCCAGAGCGAAGAGGGCAGGGUGCCUCAUCUGCUGUGCAGAGAAUACAAAUAGGGGAGCUAAGAUGGGGCCAUGUACCCUGGCAGAGUUCCAUACAUGGCUCACCCUCCCACUGGAACGCCUGAUUCCAGUUCAGCCCUUUACAAGACAUGCCAGGACCCUUUGUGUGCCAGGCUGGGCUGGGUGUAUGCGGACUAUUUCCUUGAGAUGUCAUUAUUGCUGGGGAAAUUGCCACUCUUGUCAAAGGUUGCAGCUGGGUGGUAUAGCAUUUCAUGAAGAAGCAUCAGGGCUAAUCAGCAUUAAAAGCAUUAGCAGAGUGGUAUUUCAAUGCCCAUUUUGUCAGACAUAAGUAUACAAGUCUUUGUUUUUUCCUGUGUAAUUCACAGUGAUGAUAUUGUAUUGAUAUGUCUUAUAAUCAUCUCACGGUUACAAUGGAUGUGGGUUCUUCUUUGCGGGAAUCAAUAUUACAUAAUUCUUUUCAGAUCAAAGAAAUUUCAUCUGCAUGUUUCAAGUGCUAAAACAUUUGGCCUGUUACACCUCAGUAUUUAAAAUCAGUAUAUUUAGGGAAUGGACUAUUAAGGAUGCCACUACACAGAGAGAUUAGGUCCAAAAUUUAAGUCUCCACAGCGUGAUAUUUUCUUGAAACAACAAAUAUAUAUGUAUAAAUGAAAUGCAACAUAAGUAAGUUAGUUUUUUUUUUUCUGAAAAGUUUAAGAUGGGCAGAGUAUUCAAAUCACUAUCAACCGCAUCAGUUUGUGUGGGCAUGGAAUGCAAAGUCUGUCAGAGAUGCAAAUUAGCUUUGUUACAUUAAUUAGGAUUCCCAGAAUUCUAGAAUCCUUUUUUUCUUCUUCUUUUUUUUCCAGAAGAGCAAAUCUACCUCUUGAAAACCGUAGCUGCUUCUUCAACAGACCAUCAUUGAGCCUUCGCAACAUUGCCUUAUACAUGCUUACAUGAACAGAAAUAAAUGGCUUCUGUUGAAUUUCA
ensembl:lncRNA